GCUCGGGGGCUGGAGUGGCGGCCGCAAGCCAGGCAGCAGCCAGCUCGAGCCCAGCGCCAGCCGCCGGGGGCGCACGGAGCAGGGAGCUGCCAAAGCCAAGGCCAGCUCAGGACGGGAUUAUGUGUACUGGGGUGGACCACGCGAGAGACACCGGGUCGAGGGCCGGGAAGUCGAGACCAGCAGCAGGGAAGGGCAGCAGGGGCCGUCACCCUGCCCGCCUUCCCUCCAGCCUCGAGUAACUGGCAGAGGGUUGAGGGGGGAAUGGGUCCUUCUCCAGGUUUCCGCACCUCCUCCUCCCGUUCCUCCUGUCAGGGCCGAGCUGCGACCUCGCUGCCCAGGCAGGGGAAGGGGAGGCCACCCGACCCAAGCAGCUGAGGGGCUCACACUGCCCACCCCCGCUCAGCCACUUUGACCCCUCCCUCAAAUCCCCAAGUCCCGGGGUCUCAGCGAGAGGAGUGGGCUGGGUACUGCUACCCCCAAGCACAUUCCUACCUUCCCUCUGUCAUUUCCCUGCCCUUCAGCCGGUCCAACAGCUCUUUGGAUUCCUCUCCUGGUGCCUUUUGGAUCCAACAGAAACAGUGUUUUUUUUCCUGGAAAGCAGAAC
rnacentral:lncRNA from 1 species